rnacentral:rRNA from 1 species
AUUGAACGCUGGCGGCAUGCCUUACACAUGCAAGUCGAACGGCAGCACGGGUGCUUGCACCUGGUGGCGAGUGGCGAACGGGUGAGUAAUACAUCGGAACGUACCUUAUCGUGGGGGAUAACGCAGCGAAAGUUGCGCCAAUACCGCAUACGCCCUGAGGGGGAAAGCGGGGGACCGUAAGGCCUCGCGCGAUUAGAGCGGCCGAUGUCUGAUUAGCUUGUUGGUGAGGUAAAAGCGCACCAAGGCGAUGAUCAGUAGCUGGUCUGAGAGGACGAUCAGCCACACUGGGACUGAGACACGGCCCAGACUCCUACGGGAGGCAGCAGUGGGGAAUUUUGGACAAUGGGGGCAGCCCUGAUCCAGCAAUGCCGCGUGAGUGAAGAAGGCCUUCGGGUUGUAAAGCUCUUUUGUCAGGGAAGAAACAGCAGCUCCAACACAGUCUGCGAAUGACGGUACCUGAAGAAUAAGCACCGGCUAACUACGUGCCAGCAGCCGCCGUAA